GGCGAUCAGAUACCGCCCUAGUUCUGACCGUAAACGAUGCCAACUAGCGAUCCGCCGGCGGAUUCAUUCGCCCUGGUGGGGAGCUUCCCGGAAACGAAAGUCUUCCGGUUCCGGGGGAAGUAUGGUUGCAAAGCUGAAACUUAAAGGAAUUGACGGAAGGGCACCACCAGGAGUGGAGCCUGCGGCUUAAUUUGACUCAACACGGGGAAACUCACCCGGCCCGGACACCGUAAGGAUUGACAGAUUGAUAGCUUUUUCAUGAUUCGGUGGAUGGUGGUGCAUGGCCGUUCUUAGUUCGUGGAGCGAUUUGUCUGGUUUAUUCCGAUAACGAGCGAGACUCUGGCCUACUAAAUAGUUGGCACGUUGCCACUGUGCGCACAACUUCUUAGAGGGAUUUUCGGUGUUCAGCCGCACGAAAUUGAGCAAUAACAGGUCUGUGAUGCCCUUAGAUGUCCGGGGCUGCACGCGCGCUACACUGGCAAAAUCAGCGUGCUUGUCCUCCCCCGAAAGGGGUUGGUAAACCGAUGAAAAUUUGCCGUGAUUGGGAUCGGACAUUGCAAUUAUUGUCCGUGAACGAGGAAUCCCUUGUAAGGGCGAGUCAUCAACUCGUCCUGAAUACGUCCCUGCCCUUG
rnacentral:rRNA from 1 species